rnacentral:lncRNA from 1 species
GGACCUUCUUCCUCAUCAGAAUAAAGAACGGAACCACCACUUUAAGCGAGGACUUACAGUACUGUACUGUGCAUAUAUAUUCAGCCUUCAACUCCUUCACUACAUGGAUGCCACUUAGAAUAUGUUAUUUGGCUAGCACCAGAUGAUUUUAUUCAGCACAGAGAGGAACCUUCACACAAGGGGUUGGAUUUGUGGGCUUUUUCAAUACCAUCAUUCUGUGGCCUGGGUUCCCCCUGUUGGAUGUUUUUGGAUGGGAGACAUUUCAGUUGCCAAAUCUGCAACACCUGUUCUACAUGUCUGUUAAUGGCUUAGUAGGAACUGUCCUGUCUGAACUUCUUUGGCUUUGGGGAUGCUUCCUUACUUCAUCAUUGAUGGCUACUUUAUCUUUGAGCUUAACUAUUCCCUUGACAAUGUUUGUGGACAUCUGGCUCAAGGGCAUCAAGUAUUCACUGCUAAUUUAUAUUGGUGCAAUUCCCAUGAUGACAUCUUUUAUUGCUGUCUCACUUCUCACACAUUAUGAAAGCUGGGACCCAUUGAUGGAUGGAAUGAAAUAUCUUCAUAGAAAGUGUUGGAGAAGAAACCACAUGUACAGGUAAAUUUAACUUUAUAUAAUUUUCUUUGUAGUUGAAGCUGAUGGUAUACAAUAUUAAAGAAAUAUAAAUUUUGAAUUACAGUAUAGAUAAUAGAUGUACACUUAAGUUAUAUUUUUUCUCCAGAUCUUAAAGAAAAUAUGAUAAGUUUUUGUCUCGUAAAUGUUAUAUUGCUUUUAAUUUCUGCAUAUUGGCAUCCAUCCAAGUGUUUGCCUUGGAUGAAUCUGUAUACUGUACAGGGGCCCCUGAAUAAUGAACGGGUUACAUUUCAGGACCUGUUCAUAAGUUGAUUUAUUCAUAACUCAGAACCUUGUUAAUAACGCAAAAUAAAAUAUGAAUAAAACACCCAUCCUUAUCUGUCAAAUCAUAAAAUUUAUAAUGCCAUAAGUAACAAAUAAUGUAUGGAGGUGUGCUGCUGAACAAAGUAGUUUUACCUUGGGAAGUACAGUACCAGUGAUUUUAUUAUGAGUAGUAUUAGGAUCACAAUAAUUCCAUGCUUGUUGUUUGACAUCAUAAGAUGGGUGUACAGUAGGGAGAUGGUGCAGGGUGGUGAUGGUUAGUUGUUGAUCGGUGGUAAAGAGAAUACGACAUGCACGAUUCUCAAUAAAUCAUUUCUUACCAUAUUUUAUGUUAUGUACAGUACAGUACUCUUGUGAAUGCAGUACUCUACUGCUGUGACGCCAUCGUGGAUGAAAAUAGGCAUACGUACUAUAGUUAAAAAAGUCAAUCUUUGCGAUGUUCAGACCCUAGCCCUCUUUCCCAUAAGAAGUUCAGUAAAGAAUGAUUCACAACUAAUUGAGGUUUCAGGAACCUAAUAUCAUUCUUUAUCGAGGGUCCAGUAAUGUAUAUUGACACCAGUGUAAUUCAUAAGUUGCUUGGCUAUCUAAAUACGUAUCGUCAAUUUAUUGUCAAACGACAUUUCUAAUAGUAUUACUCGUAACAGAAUAUGUACCAUUGUUGCCACAUGGUACAGUAUCUGAAUUUUAAAUAGUUUUAUAGUGGUUUGAUAACAAAGGUUUAAAGUACAUUAUAUAAAGGAUCAACAAACCAUCCUUCUCCCUUAUCUCAGUAUGUUUAUCGCUUCUCUGUGCUUGUUUGAGAAGAAAAGAAAUCAUUACAAUACUCUAAUGUGGCUUAGAAAUAAAGAAAUUAUAAAACUAAAAAAAAAAAAA